rnacentral:tRNA from 1 species
GCUGCUUUGGUGGAAAUGGUAGACACGAUGGAUUUAGGUUCCAUUUAAUUUUUUAGUGCAAGUUCAAGCCUUGCAAGCAGUA